rnacentral:rRNA from 1 species
GACGAACGCUGGCGGCGUGCUUAACACAUGCAAGUCGAUCGGAAAGGCCCUGCUUUUGUGGGGUGCUCGAGUGGCGAACGGGUGAGUAACACGUGAGUAACCUGCCCUUGACUUUGGGAUAACUUCAGGAAACUGGGGCUAAUACCGGAUAGGAGCUCCUGCUGCAUGGUGGGGGUUGGAAAGUUUCGGCGGUUGGGGAUGGACUCGCGGCUUAUCAGCUUGUUGGUGGGGUAGUGGCUUACCAAGGCUUUGACGGGUAGCCGGCCUGAGAGGGUGACCGGCCACAUUGGGACUGAGAUACGGCCCAGACUCCUACGGGAGGCAGCAGUGGGGAAUAUUGCACAAUGGGCGGAAGCCUGAGGCAGCAACGCCGCGUGCGGGAUGACGGCCUUCGGGUUGUAAACCGCUUUCGCCUGUGACGAAGCGUGAGUGACGGUAAUGGGUAAAGAAGCACCGGCUAACUACGUG